UUGUCCCCUCCUCUCCUCUCCCAUCGCGUCGUCCUCCCCGGGCGACUCGAGAGACGACGCUGCCGCCGCCCCCUUCCUCUUCAACGCCUCCUCCCUCACCUCGCCGCCGCCUGAGCGGGCGCUGGCAAAGCCGUGCGCUCGCAAGGACGGUGGCGGCGGGGCCUUGUCUCACCUCCCCUUUGCGCCCAACGGCUGGGGACGCCGCUUAGAGUGGUGGUGGCGGUGCCCAGAUCCGCGCCGUGGCCGGCCGGAUCUGGGGGAGCGAUAGCCGGUGGCAGGGAAUG
rnacentral:lncRNA from 1 species